rnacentral:rRNA from 1 species
UACAGAGGGUGCAAGCGUUGUUCGGAAUUACUGGGCGUAAAGCGAGUGUAGGCGGUCUACUAAGUCGGGUGUGAAAGCCCUGGGCUCAACCCAGGAAGUGCACUCGAAACUGGUGGGCUAGAGUAUCGGAGAGGUUGGUGGAAUUCACGGUGUAGCAGUGAAAUGCGUAGAUAUCGUGAGGAAGACCAGUGGCGAAGGCGGGGUCUCUGGACAGUUCCUGACACUGAGGCACGAAGGCCAGGGGAGCAAACGGG